rnacentral:rRNA from 1 species
CCUACGGGAGGCAGCAGUGGGGAAUAUUGCACAAUGGGGGAAACCCUGAUGCAGCAACGCAGCGUGAGUGAAGAAGGUUCUCGGAUUGUAAAGCUGUGUUAGCAGGGAAGAGGAAGGACGGUACCUGCAGAGGAAGCCACGGCUAACUACGUGACAGCAGCCGCGGUAAUAGGUAGGUGGCAAGCGUUGACCGGAAUAACUGGGUGUAAAGGAUGCGUAGGCGGUUAAACAAGUGGUAUGUUAAAUAUAUAGGCUUAACCUGUAGAAAGCAGAUAAAACUGUUUAACUAUAGUGCAGGAGAGGUAAGUGGAAUUCCUAGUGUAGCGGUGAAAUGCGUAGAGAUGAGGAAGAACACCAGUGGCGAAGGCGACUUACUGGACUGUAACUGACGCUGAGGCAUGAGAGCAUGGGGAGCAAACAGGAUUAGAUACCCCUGUAGUC